rnacentral:lncRNA from 1 species
CACUACCUGUAAUCAUAAAACUGAGUGGGUCAGGCUUGGGAGCCUGGUGAGCAUAUAGGGUUUUCAACCCACAAUAAUAAUAUACUUAUUAAGUUCACCAAUCAAAAAUAACCCUGAUUACCCAUUCCCGUUGUCCUCACUUUACGUCCCUAAACACCUAUCACAAGGGACCUAGCCUAAGGAAUAUCAUUGGGAUGGACACUACAGCUAAGGGGUUUCCUCAGCCAUACAUGUCCUUAAGGCAACCAUGAGGGGGAUGAAGUACGCCAAUGAACAUUUAAUUCAUCAACACCUACAAGUUUCAAACUUGCUACUGUUCCACUGGACUAUCUAGAAAGUCCGUGGUCGUCAUCUAUACUUCGCUAGAUGACAACAACAACAACAACAACAACAACAACAUCGAGGCCUCUCACCAUUUUAACACACAUCAACUAUUUCAUCUACCCAUGUUCUACCCAACAUAUUUUGUAGAUAAAAAGCAUAUACAGUUUAAAACUUGUAUAAAACAUCAAUUCAACAGUCACCUCAGUCAAACAAUUAACAUAUUUACACAUAACACGUAUUUCAAGGUAAAUACUUCAUAUCUAUGUGUAAAUUGAAAGUAACUACACACUCACUUAUUUUGGUGAAAAUCGGGCAGCAAUUCGUUUCCUAAAACGAUCGUUUCUAAUAAAACUGGGAGUUUUAUUGAGAAACCAGGCUCUGCAAAAGUCGGGCUUCGAAAUCGAAAAGAUAAUUUUCCGGGCUUCUCGGGCGCUUCGUGGCGUAUUCCGGGCUUUACAAUCGAUACCGGGGCUUUGCGGGAUGUUAAGAUGAAGGAAAUAUGGGUUUAGGGGUUAAAAGUGGCAAUUUCUUAAAAAUAUCCGAGAAGGCUCGCAACCUUCUAUUUAUAGGGUGAAGCUUCUGAUCGGAUGGCUGAGAAGCUUUUGAUCCAACGGCUGAGAAGGCUCGCAUGCGAAGGCUCGCACAUGGCUCGCACCUGCGAGGGCUCGCUGGCAGCUUCUAAGUGGACCACGGCUUGCUGGUGCACCUGCGAGGUUCGGAGUUAGGCGCGAUGCUUGGAGCUAGGUUAUGUGAGGCUUGGAUGGAGAGGUGGCAGCAGGGCGAAGCUUCGGCUGGGGAGCUGGCUGCUUCGGAUUGGGCCUCCUCCUCGGUAGAAUCAGAAGAGGACACGUGGCUCGCAUGACUCAGCAGCCUCGGUGACUCAGCAGCCUAAUGACUCAGCAGCCAGGUGACUCAGCAGGACACGUGUCACUUUCUAAGCGAGGGUGACGUGGCAAUUGUGACUAUGCGAAAUUUCUCGGUUUUCGUGCCAAAACUUCUAAAAUCCAUAACUUUCGCAUACGAGCUCCGUUUUUGACGUUCUUUAUAUGCACGCGUAGCUAAAAUUACGAUCUACAACUUCCGUUUAGACUUCGUCGGCUAAUUUUGAAUUUAAAUUUUAUAUUAUUAUUUUUAACAGACCGGGACAGGAAAUCCGUUAAAAAUUCAUAACUUCUUCAUCCGACGUCCGUUUUCGUCAGACUUUUUACCGUUGUGCUCCUAAUGACGAGACCUUCAAUUCUCGUUUAGGUUGUGUCGGCUAAAAAUCGCUCGAUCUAAAAUUCGAGUUUUUAGCUGUCUACUGCUACGCUGAAACUUCGAAAAAUCAUAACUUCCUCAUACGAAGUCAGAUUUGGUCGUUCUUUUUAUUGAACUUCUCGGUUAACGAAUACUACGAGNUCUAAAAUUCGAGUUUUUAGCUGUCUACUGCUACGCUGAAACUUCGAAAAAUCAUAACUUCCUCAUACGAAGUCAGAUUUGGGCGUUCUUUUUAUCGAACUUCUCGGUUUAACGAAUACUACGACUUUCGUUUAGAUUACUAAGGCUAAAAAGUAGUUUAUCAAAAACUCACUUUUUACGACAUUCAGCACCGUGCCGGUUUUGUCGCGAAACUUCGACAGGCCAUAACUUCUUCGUUAUAACUCGGAUUUUGGUAUUCUUUAUAUCCCCGAAAUCCUUGUUUCGACCACUACAAAUUUAUUUAAAGAUAUCGGGCUUAUAUCACUCUUUAAUUUUGACGCUUAUUUUUAUUCUUAUUAAUUAAGCCCUAAUAAUUAAGCAUAAAACACAUAAUUCACAUAAUAUUCACAUAAUUCCUUUUCAUUUCUUCAAAAUGAGUUACAAAGGUUAACCUAGACUAUCAACUCAAUAUAAAUGUCUAGGCUAGAAACACGCGUGUUACAAUUCUCUCCCCCUUAGGAUGAUUCCGUCCUCGGAAUCACAUAUCACCAAACAACUGUGGGUAGCGACUCAUCAUGUCACUCUCCGUUUCCCAAGUGAGAUUUGGUCCAUUCGUAUGUUUCCAACGCACAACCACUAAAUCGACCAUCUUGCAUUGUAACUUCAUAGUCUUACGGUCAACAAUUGCCUGAGGUUCCUCGAUCAACCUCUUGUUUUCAUCCAGCCUUAACUCAGAAAUCGGAAUUAUGUCGGGCACAUCUCCUGUGAACUUUCUCAAAUAACACACAUGAAAGGUGUUAUGAAUACCCUCUAGUUCUUCCGGUAACUCUAGCUUGUAAGCUUGAUUCCCGAUCCUCUGAAGAACUUUAAAUGGUCCAAUAAACCUUGGACUCAACUUCCCUCGUUUCCCAAAUCUUAUAAGUCCCUUCCACGGCGAGACUUUAAGUAAAACCGAAUCUCCAACAUCGAAGGAUAUCGGUUGUCUUUUCUUGUCAGCAUAACUCUUUUGUCGAUCUUGAGCAGCUAACAUCCUUUCCCUUAUCACUUUCAACUUUUCAGCAGUCUCAUGGACUAUUUCAGGUCCCAUAAACUGCUUUUCCCCAGCUUCCAGCCAACAUGAUGGCGUUCGACACUUCUCCCCAUACAAAGCGUGAUAAGGUGCCAUCUUAAUGCUUGAGUGGAAACUAUUAUUAUAGGAGAAUUCUACUAAAGGUAAGUGUUCAUCCCAGUUACCUUGGAAUUCUAGGGUACAUGCUCUCAGCAUAUCCUCCAAUGUUUGAAUCGUUCGCUCGCUCUGACCAUCGGUUUGCGGAUGGUAAGCUGUACUCAAACACAACUUGGUACCCAAUUCCUCUUGUAGACUCCUCCAAAACCUUGAGGUAAAACGGCUGUCACGAUCGGACACAAUCGUUAACGGAACACCGUGAAGCCUCACAAUUUCCUUCACGUAAGAAUUCGCAAGUUUAUCCAUAGACCAUUUCUCUUUGGCCGCUAUGAAAUGCGCACUCUUAGUGAAGCGAUCAACGACCACCCAAAUCAUGUCGUGACCGUUCCUUGUUCUGGGCAGUUUAGUCACAAAAUCCAUGGUGAUGUCUUCCCAUUUACCCAUGGGUACGGGUAAAGGUUCUAAACUCCCAUACGGUUUCUGAUGUUGUGCCUUAACCCUAGCACAAGUUACACACUCGGCCACAUACUUAGCAACAUCGAGCUUCAUCGUCGGCCACCAAUAAUAGGGUUUUAGAUCCCUAUACAUUUUCGUACUGCCGGGAUGAAUUGAGUACAUGGUCUUGUGAGCUUCUUCCAUCAGAAGAUCUCUUAUUCCGCCCGUCUUAGGUACCCAAAUUCUAUCUUGAAAUACCUUCAACCCUUGGUUGUUUGUACCGAACACUAACGUUUUGCCCAAACGUUCUUCCUUUCGGUCAUUUUUCUCUAAAGCUUCCUCUUGAGCUUUCUUUAUACUUUCCACAAUUGUCGAGACAACUUCAAUUCUCAACGCUCUUGGCCUUUUCUUUUCAAGGUUUACCUUCCGACUGAGAGCAUCGGCAACAACAUUUGCUUUACCAGGGUGGUAAAGUAUCUCACAGUCGUAGUCCUUGAGUAACUCUAGCCAGCGUCGUUGCCUCAUGUUCAAUUCCUUCUGAUUAAAGAGAUAUUGGAGACUCUUAUGAUCAGUGAAAAGUUUACACUUGGUGCCAUAAAGAUAAUGCCUCCAUAUCUUCAAGGCAAAUACUACCGCUGCCAACUCCAAAUCAUGAGUGGGGUAGUUCUUUUCAUGUUCCUUCAAUUGCCUCGAUGCAUACGCGAUCACUUUAUCCCUUUGGGUCAGAACACAACCUAACCCAACUCCGGAUGCAUCGCUAUAAACUGCAAAGUCAUCAACUCCUUCAGGCAAUGAAAGAAUCGGUGCUUCACACAAUCUCUUCUUCAACUUCUCAAAGGCUUCCUUAUGCUUCUCAUUCCAAGCAUAAGUGGCUCCUUUGUGGGUCAAAGCUGUUAAUGGAGUAGCAAUCGAAGAAAAGCCUUGGAUAAACCUUCGGUAAUAUCCAGCUAAUCCUAAAAAGCUUCGAAUCUCCGUAGGACUUUUUGGUUGUUCCCACUUCAUUACAGCUUCAAUCUUUGCUGGGUCGACCAUUAUCCCUUCUUGGUUAACCACAUGACCUAAAAAUUGGACUUCUUGAAUCCAAAAUUCACACUUGGAGAACUUUGCAUACAGCUUCUCCUUUUUCAGGACUUCUAGCACUUCACGCAGAUGCUUUUCAUGCUCCUGCUUGCUUUUCGAAUAAAUCAAGAUAUCAUCUAUGAAUACUAUCACGGAUUUAUCUAAGAAUGGUUUACAAACCCUAUUCAUCAAAUCCAUGAAAGCUGCUGGGGCAUUGGUUAGUCCGAACGACAUAACCAAAAAUUCAUAGUGUCCAUAUCUCGUUCUAAAAGCAGUCUUUUCGAUAUCCUGCUCUCUCACCUUUAGUUGAUGGUAUCCCGACCUAAGAUCGAUCUUCGAGAAAUAGCUCGAACCCUGCAACUGGUCGAACAAGUCAUCGAUCCUUGGCAACGGGUACUUGUUCUUUAUCGUCACUUUGUUCAGCUCUCUGUAAUCGAUGCACAUUCUCAUGCUUCCGUCUUUCUUCUUUACAAAUAACACAGGGGCUCCCCAGGGUGAUGAACUAGGUCGAAUGAAACCUUUGUCCAAUAACUCCUGAAGUUGUGUCAUAAGUUCUUUCAUUUCGGUUGGCGCUAAUCGAUAAGGUGCUUUCGCUAUCGGCGUCGUUCCUGGUAACAAGUCGAUACGAAAUUCUACUUGUCGAUCAGGGGGCAAUCCGGGAAGAUCUUCGGGAAAGACUUCCGGAUAAUCACACACCACCGGAAUAUUCUGCACCUCCUUCUUUUCCAUCUUGGCAUCGAUCACGAAUGCUAGAUAUGAUGUACAUCCCUUGGCCAAACACUUUCUGGCUUUCAUUAGGGAAAUGAUUCCAGAGUUUACUCUGCGUUUGUCUCCGUACACCAUAAACGACUCUUUCCCUGGCGGGUUUACUUUUACUAUCUUCUUUCUACAUAGUAUUUCUGCAUCGUUGGCGCUAAGCCAAUCCAUUCCUAAAACUAUGUCGAAUCCAUUUAACUCGAUAGGCAAUAAUUCCUCUUGGAACUUAUUCCCAUCCAAGUCAAUGAGGAUGUUUUUCAUACGAUGGCUAACAGGUACAAACUUGCCACUAGCAAUCUCGACUAUUAUAGCAUUAACUAGCAUAUCUACAGGCAAAGCUAGCUUUCUACCAAAUUCAUGCGAUAUAAAGGAGUAAUUGGCUCCAGAAUCAAACAAAAUUUGGGCAGGCAAUUCGUUUACGAGAAAGGUACCUGAAGCAACAUCGGCUUCUUCUUUCGCAGCUUCGAGGGUCAUCUGAAAGGCUCUCGCCUUCGGCUUUGGUGGUAGAUUGGGUUUUGCUGCGUCCUUCUUCUUCGGGCAGUCCCUCAAAAUAUGCCCUUCUUCAUUGCACCCAAAACAUACGUUCUUAUUGAAGGUGCAUUCAUUGGCAUAAUGCCCUGGCUUUCCACAUUUGUAACAAGUGACUUCCACGCUGCACUUCCCAGCAUGUUUCUUCCUACACUUGUCACACCACUUGGCUUCGCUUCCUCCUCCAAACUUUCUCGAACCAGUCUUCGAGAAUUUGUUCUUUUUAUUGGAACCUGAAGUUCCUUCAAACUUUCUCUUUUCGCCAACUUCAACCUUGCUGGCGGCUCUCCCUUUUAUCAUAUCUUCAACAGACUUGGCAGCCCAGAUAGCUGCCUCCAAAGUAAGUGCCUGACGUACUGGCACCGCAUACUCCCAUGGAAGUCCCUUUGCGUACCUGUCUAUUUUUGCCAACUCAUCUGGGACAAUACGCAAAGCAAACUCCAUUUUGUCUGUGAAGUUAUUUGUAUAUUCGUCAACGGUCAUACUCCCCUUCUGCAACGUUAGAAAUUGGUUUUCUAACUCAAGUACGUUUUGGGCCGAGCAGUACUUGCGCUUGAAGUGCACUAAGAACUCUGCCCAAGUUAAUUGCAGUGGCUCAUUAGGGCUUAGGGUUUUCCCCAAAGUGCUCCACCAACGAGCAGCACUACCCCUGAACUGACGUACUGCAAACGUAGUUUGUAACUUGCCUUGGCAAUCACAAGUCAUGAAAGCCAACUCCAUUUCCGAGAUCCAGUCCAUUACUCCGACAGGAUCUUCUUUUCCAUUGAAGGUCGAUGGCUUGCAAGUCAUAAAGUCCUUAUACUUGCACCCAUUUCUCUCCACUCUACCCUCGUGGUUAUUCCUCCCAACCACAAGCGGUUCACUAUGACCAACCGAUCUGCUAUUGUUCCCUUCUUCAGAUCGAUCGUCAUUUAGUUCACGUUGUUCAACAGGAACUGAAGGUUCAUCCCUGUCGUUCAGCAACAUUUGCCUCAAUUCCUCCCUCUGUUCAGCCAACAUGGCCUGAAUCAUAGUUCGUACUCCAGCCAUAGUGAUGGGUUCGGGUGCAGCUCCUACUAUAGGCACCUGUUCCACCACUGGAGGUUGAGGUUGUUGGUUUCUGUUUGCAUUUCCAGCUCCACUCCGAGUUCUUGCCAUUACAAUCUAUAUACCGAAUAAGGCGAAAUUUAGGUCUUUAUCCUUGUUAGACAUGUCAAUUCCCUUAUCACUCCGAAACGUUUACAUGUUAGUUCUAAUCUCGUAUUCAUACGCUUAGAAUCCUACACACAUAAGGUUUCCAGAUCCGGUCGGCAACAGACCAUAGAUCCGAACAAAUAAUGGCACACAUGGCAAACACAUAGCAUUUAGCACAUAAGGGCAUUUUAGGCAUCUUCCCUAAAAUAAACUAGUGCUCGUGUCUAAAAUAUGGUAGACACUCAUCUCACAAUCAUCACUUAGCAUUCUAAGUUCAAGUCUAGAAAUUCUACAAUUUCUUAGUUCGCUUAAACUAAUGCUCUGAUACCAACUGUGACAUCCCCAUAUUUCUCGGCCAGAAAAGACCGAUUUAAUUUAUGCUUUUUAAAAUAAAAUCAGAGAAAUCUUUUUAUAAGAUAUUGCGGAAUUGGUCCCCAAACAAUAUAUGAUAAAAGUUUAUCAAAAUCCUUCAUUAAGAAGGUAUAUAUUUUCCAUAUAUAUAUCAAAACCUCGGGAUGUCAUGUUCCGAUACAGAUCAAAAGCAUAAACAAGACAUUAUAAGCCUUUCAACAGUUAUUUACAACUACUGGCCUAUAAUCCAAAAAUCUCUCGUCAUCCUCCGACUAUGCUCGGGGUCCACUACCUGUAAUCAUAAAACUGAGUGGGUCAGGCUUGGGAGCCUGGUGAGCAUAUAGGGUUUUCAACCCACAAUAAUAAUAUACUUAUUAAGUUCACCAAUCAACAAUAACCCUGAUUACCCAUUCCCGUUGUCCUCACUUUACGUCCCUAAACACCUAUCACAAGGGACCUAGCCUAAGGAUUAUCAUCGGGAUGGACACUACUGCUAAGGGGUUUCCUCAGCCAUACAUGUCCUUAAGGCAACCAUGAGGGGGA